rnacentral:lncRNA from 1 species
GCCAAUACGAGGAGAACCAGAAGUACUACGCGGUGAAAGCGGAGGAGUACUUGCAGCAGGAAACAUGGAAGGCAAUAAAUUGGUUGUAGAACUGGUCAAAUUCCCCGUGGCAUUCAACGACGACGUCCCCGUUCUCGCAUCAGUAAGCAAAUUCUUAACCUAAUUAAAUUUUUUUAAAAAAAGGGCAAAAUAAAAGGUUAAAAAUAGAAACUUAAAUGAAAAAGGAAGAUUACUGAUUGGUAAGAAGCGUUACCAGGCGACCAGUUUCCGGGAGGGAAAGCCAGAGGGAAAACAGUUCUUCUGCGAGAAAGGGAUUGGAUUUGAGAGCUAACGGGGAGAGCUCCGGGAGCUGAAGUGAAUCAGGGUCAAGAGAUGCCACGUCACCUACCGCCUCCACUUCC